CAGCCGCCGCGGGUAAUACGUAGGGUGCUAGCGUUAUCCGGAAUCACUGGGCGUAAAGGGUUUUGUAGGCGGUAAGUUAAGUGGUGGGUUAAAGGCCAAGGCUCAACCUUGGAUAUGCCCAUCAAACUAACUAACUAGAGAUAAUUUGGGGAUGCUGGAAUUCUCGGUGUAGUAGUGAAAUGCGUUGAUAUCGAGAAGAACACCAAAGGCGAAGGCAGGCAUCUGGGAUUAUACUGACGCUGAUAAACGAAAGCUAGGGGAGCGAAAGGGAUUAGAGACCCCUGUAGUCCUAGCCGUAAACGAUGGACACUAGCUGUUUGCCCUUUAAGGGUGAGUGGCGCAAGCUAACGCGUUAAGUGUCCCGCCUGGGGAGUACGACCGCAAGGUUAAAACUCAAAGGAAUUGACGGGGAUGCGCACAACCAGCGUGCCAUGUGGUUUAAUACGAUACAAAACGAUGAACCUUACCUAGACUUGACAUCCUGAUCAUAUCCUAUGGAAACAUAGGAGUCGGUUCGGCCGGAUCAGUGACAGCUGUUGCAUGGUUGUCGUCAGUUCGUGUCGUGAGGCGUCCUGUUAAGUCAGGUAACGAGCGCAACCCCUGUUGCAUGUUAAAUAUCCAUGCAAGACUGCCCCUCUUAUUGGGGGGGAGGAAGGAGGGGACGACGUCAAAUCAGCAUGACGCUUACGUCUAGGGCUACACACAUGGUGUAAUGGGUGGUACAACGGGUCGCGACAGGGUAACCUUGAGCUAAUCCUUAUAAAACCACCCUCAGUUCGGAUUGCGGGCUGCAAUUCGCCCGCAUGAAGGGGUAGUUGGUAGUAAUCGCAGGUCAGCUAUACUGCGGUGAAUACGUUCUCGCAUCUUGUACACACUGCCCGUCAAGUCAACAAAAUCAGCAGUGCCCGAAGUUGGUAUCCUUAACCCAAGUUUACUUGGAAUAGGACCACCUAAGGUAAGGUUGGUGAUGGGGGUAAGUCGUAACAAGGUAACCGUA
rnacentral:rRNA from 1 species